AUGUAUUUUAUGACAAAAUUACGCAGCCUGGUCUCAGAGCAUUUCGUAUUAUUCUGUACGUUGGCCGACGGGGCGGGAGAAACCCAGCCUUGGGAUGAAAGUAACAGCUGGCGAGAAGUGCACAAUAUCUGUCUUAUUUCCAUAUUUCUGUUUAGUAAUGCUUGUUACUUUCAACAAAUGUACUAUCAGCCAUCAUUUCAUGUUUCCAUUGAGUUCAAUAAGUCAUGCUACAGGUUAAAAAUGUAUGAAAAUGAACCAUGCUUCAACAUCGCAAUGUUGCGCAAACACAACAAUUCACCUUACAUUUUAGUCUGAUUCAUAUUGUAUCAGAUAACAGCUAUAUUAACCAUCAUUUUCUCAUCUCACUUCAAUGGGAAUGUAGUAGGUUAUCUUCCUCUCCAUUUUCCAUGACUAUUCAUGCUAAGCCAAUCAGGUGCGCUCCAACUGUCCUUGUCAUGCACACUCCUCGUGUCUUGGUAGAAGAAAAGUUUUUAUUAUUUUCACAAACAGCAAACUCAUCAGGCUUAUCACAUUUUCAUGGCUUGACACAAGGUAAUUAACCCCCAGAAUCAUAAAAAAAUAUAUUUUUAAUAACCCCUAACCUGUCGAUAAAAGCUUAUGUGAGUAGCUGAUUCAUCAAGUGAAUUGAUUAAGGCAUAAUUCUAAUGAUAUCAUAUAGAAUUUUCUAACAUUCAGUCACUUGUUGAUAUUUGGCAUUAUAAAAGCAGCGUCAACUAGAGAAGACAAUGGCCUGUGUUAAAACAUUUAUUCCAGGUCAUCAGUUAACAUUGUGUUUCUUUCGUCCCACCCAUCUCUCCUGUAACUUCUCCCAGGCUAAUGUUGCGUUCAAAAGAACUGGGAACUCAGAACUCAGAAAUCUCUAACUACCGACUCACUGGGAACUCAACAAAAAAAACGAACUGUUUUGAACGGUCAUCCAACACAGAAUUUCAAUUCGGGGAAAUCGGGCCUCUAUCUAGAGCUCCGACUUUCUGACCUGAAGAUCAUGGACGUCAUGCUUUGACCUUGUAUUUUUCAGAGUUCAACAACGCACCACAGCACCCAUGAAUAGCUAGCGUGAUACUUGAAACCUAUGCUGUCAUUUAGUCACUAGAUGGGUUAAAAAAAAUAUGUAUUUUAGGAACCUUGAACAACUAAACACAACUCUACAGUUCAAAGCCAAUUUUUAUUGAUAACUUGGCAAAACAUGGUCGGACUGGGCUGUUUUUUUUGCAGGGAGCUCGUCCUCCGCGUUAGGUACAUGCUUCUGUCUUAUCUGAGAAAAUGGGCGUGUUACUUUUGCCCCAUAUUACUUUUGUCCCGGCUCUUCCUUCAUAAUUUGUUUUAUUUUAGCCUAAUAAACAUGGUUUCCUGGGUCGUAGUGGGGGGAUCACACACCAUAUCAUUGUGUGACUCCAAGUUUACUUUGAUAUGAUGGUUAUCAUAUCAUUAUUUGUGCAAAAAGGCGGAUCAAUCAAUCAAGCCAUUUCCUGCAUAAUUAAUUUGACCAACAAAAUAAUACCCCACCAUGUCGAAAAACACAUUUUCUGUCGGCAUUUGUAAAAUUGUAUCAAAACUUCCUCUUUCCAUCACUUUUUUAAUACGCUAUGACUUUACUGGCAUAACACCUGUGGAUGGAAAUGUGGUUAAUGAGGACUUUUCUUUCCAAGACAAAUUCCAUUUGACAAAUAAAAAUAUUCUUGCUCUUAUCCACAAUAACCUCGUCAUGUAGACUAGCCUACCCGCACUGUAUCUGCCAGCUGUUGGCUAGAGAGCACGUGCAAAGACCAGAGGAGGCACAUUUGCUAUUCAACGCAGCAGUUUUUGUGACAAAACUUUAGGUAAAGUUGGUAAAGUUUGCAAUUUGGACUGACCAACACUCCAACAGUAUUCCAGGCCCUGGUCAACGACAUGCUCCAUGACAUGUUGAACCUGUUCCUGUUCGUGUUCAUCGACCACGACGACCCCCCCACCCCCCCUGUUCAGCUCAAGUGCACGUCCUCUAGGUCCUCCAGCGUCUCCUGGAGAACCAGCUUUUUGUGAAAGCAGAGAAAUGUGAAUUCCAUCGCUCCACUGUCUCCUCCCUGCAGGAAAUAUUCAGAUGGAUUCUGACAAGGUGAGGGUCCCGUAACCUUUCCCCAGGUUUUAUCGGCCCUUUCCUCAUCUCUAAAAUCCUUAGCCCCUCUGCUGUUCGUCUUCUGUUGCCCCCAGCACCCUCCGUAUACAUCCCACGUUUCAUGUGUCUAGGAUUGAACCUCUGUCUCUCUGCCCUCUGUCUCUCUGCCCUCCGUCUCUCUGCCCUCUGUCUCCCAGCCCUCUGUCUCUCAGCCCUCUGUCUCUCUGCCCUCUNNNNNNNNNNCCUGUCUUCCUAACAUGGUACCUUUCCUUGCUUGUCAUUUUAAUAUAUUUGCCUUGAUUAUAGAAUAUAAGUACUACAGUAUUGCUAUACAUUUGUUAAAGUACAGUAACAGUAUAAAGAAAAUGACCCGGUAUAAAAUGUAAGUAAUUCAAAAACACUCUUAAUUCAGUUGCUAGGCUACAUCUAAUACCAUGGGAUGAUAGUACAGUAUUGAUGUAUUUUAUUUGUGAUUUUAUACAUUAAUUUAUGAAAUAUGAUUGUGUACUAAUUNNNNNNNNNNUUUUUAUUAUUUUCACAAACAGCAAACUCAUCAGGCUUAUCACAUUUUCAUGGCUUGACACAAGGUAAUUAACCCCCAGAAUCAUAAAAAAAUAUAUUUUUAAUAACCCCUAACCUGUCGAUAAAAGCUUAUGUGAGUAGCUGAUUCAUCAAGUGAAUUGAUUAAGGCAUAAUUCUAAUGAUAUCAUAUAGAAUUUUCUAACAUUCAGUCACUUGUUGAUAUUUGGCAUUAUAAAAGCAGCGUCAACUAGAGAAGACAAUGGCCUGUGUUAAAACAUUUAU
rnacentral:lncRNA from 13 species